rnacentral:rRNA from 1 species
CCUACGGGGUGCUGCAGUGGGGAAUAUUGGACAAUGGGCGAAAGCCUGAUCCAGCCAUGCCGCGUGUGUGAAGAAGGCCUUCGGGUUGUAAAGCACUUUCAGUGGGGAAGAAAGCCUUGGGGCUAAUACCCUCGAGGAAGGACAUCACCCACAGAAGAAGCACCGGCUAACUCCGUGCCAGCAGCCGCGGUAAUACGGAGGGUGCGAGCGUUAAUCGGAAUUACUGGGCGUAAAGCGCGCGUAGGCGGUCUGAUAAGCCGGUUGUGAAAGCCCCGGGCUCAACCUGGGAACGGCAUCCGGAACUGUCAGGCUAGAGUGCAGGAGAGGAAGGUAGAAUUCCCGGUGUAGCGGUGAAAUGCGUAGAGAUCGGGAGGAGUACCAGUGGCGAAGGCGGCCUUCUGGACUGACACUGACGCUGAGGUGCGAAAGCGUGGGUAGCAAACAGGAUUAGAUACCCCAGUAGUC